CCAGAUCUCAUACUGCAGGACACACAGUCAUCACAUGAGGAGAUAAUUAGAAUUUCUCUUUGCUCAAAUCUUAUACCAUGCUGAUUACCAUGUUUUCUGAAAAUGCACCUUAAAUGCACUAAAAGUUAAACUGUGUCUUUUUUUUCUCUCUCCCUACCCUGCAUCUCUUCUCAGGAAUUGCUUCCUGUCUAUUUAUCUUCUGUCCAGGACCACUCAACAGGUCAUGUAUGCUUUAGAGAAUGUUUUCCUUCAAUUGAAGCUUCGGACCUUUCAUUGGUCCUUGCCAGCAGCAAUAUAAGUGGUUUGACAGAGCAACAGAUGUGUGACAGCAUUUACGCAAGGAAUAGUUUCCUCCCUUUCUGGAGGCACUUCAUACAUUCACAAACUGGUCAAAUUUGUUUUGUAAUGCACUGGUCCAUCAUUUAGUGAAAGUGAGUUAGCAAUUUCCAAGGUAAUUCCCCUAUUUUCCUGUGAACAGCUCUGACAGGAGCCCCCGGGGAAAUAACCAUUAAGCAAACAUCUGUGUACUUCCUAUCUGUCAACAUCUCAACAGCUUCAGAAGUGGGGGCUGACAUGACGGACCUGCCAGCUUUACCAGAGCCCAAAUUCUGAGGCAGCUGAGAUUAGCAGAAACUCUGAACUGCACAAAGUAGCAAAUUGCUGUUUUCCUAAAUGUAUUUUGUUCGUCUUGAUACAAUAUAUGUCAAUUUUUACAAUAAAAAAUCUCCCUUGAGAAUCGGCUGCAGGAUUAGCAUUGUCAUCUGUCUAGUGAUGAUACAUUGUACUGUCAACUUGUCAAAAUGAUUAACUGAACUAAAAAGCUAAAUUUUUAGUACUUUCAUGAUAAAUUAAAUGCAUAGAGGGUUCUUUCUGUUUGCCAGCAUCUGCUAUGUUUUAGUAAUUUGGCUCUGAUGAUGGAGGGAAAAGGAAAAACAGAGUGGGGAGAAAGACAGGUAAGGAAAACCAUUAAUCUUGAGAAAAAUAAGACUGUGAUCUGCCCAUCAACCUUAAGAUUAAAAUCACUCAAAAAAACAACGGGCAAUUUUAUUUUCACUUAAGAAAAAAACAUUAAAGCAACCUGCUGCUUCACAUUCUCAGAAGUACAAUCUACAAAACACCUGUUACCUAAUGGCUUCUACAAUAUUUUCAGGGGAACAGAAUACGUUACUGAAUCUCCUUGCCAGCACUUCCAAACUACACCUGAAACACACCUUUGCAUAGUGCCUAGCAGAGAAUAUUUUCUUCAGUUAGACAGCUAACAAAACUGCCAUGUUUUGUCACCCUUAACAUAUACUAAACCCAGGGAUGUGCCGCAAGUGACAUUAGUGACAGAGACUGUACUGCAGUUACCUCAAUACAAAUUUGUAAUCAAGUUGAAAGCAUUCAGUAUUUUGGAUAUAGAUAUUACACAAGCAUCUCAGUGGAAUAAAAGUCAACCAUUACAUUUGAUGCAGGACUGCUACAGGCAGCCAUGGGCAUUCUCUGAUGGUGUUUUAGCAGUAGGCACAUAAAUCUAUGUCUUGCCCAAGACAGCAUGGUUGAUUUGGUUUGCCCACUACCAUAACCAGUGCAGACAACUAGAGAUCAUAUUCAAUACAUAAAAUAUAGAUAUAUACCAGCUUCAGUGUUCAGCCAACUUUCAACUAACUACACAGCAAGCCACGAUUUGGCAGCCUUGGAAAGCAGAUGAUCUAAACUGUUUUGUCAUCUCCUGUCCUUAGAAACUGCUAUAGAUAGACACCAGCUUUACUUGUAGGUCAGUUGGUUGAUGUGGCACUGAAUAUUCAUGUUUCAUCAGCUCUUGUCUGUCUCAUCUCCUUCAGAGAGAAAAAAAUCCGUGCAACCUUUGCAAGAGCAUCUCCUUGACUAUGGAUUGUGACAGCCUGAAAUGAAGUGCCAGGCCCUUUCAUGAGCUUCUUCAUAUACAUAAAUCUGGUGAAAGGAUCAUUUUUUGACGAUGAUAGAUUGAACUUGAGAGUGGGAGAACAGAACUGUCACCGGCAGAAAGCCCUUCCACUCUGGAGUCACAAAAGGGGAUGAAAGCUGUCAGGAACAGGACAAGAAAGCAGGACCAUUAAACAUAUGGGAAAGAGUUAAGUGCACACAUCAACUGGAAAGCUGUUGACUGGGAAUAUUUGUAUACUCCUACUGUUACCUCCUGUGUUUUUGCUGAAAAACACAUUUCUUCUAACAGCCUCAAUUGCAAAGCAGUGCUUUUUUUAUCCUCCUACUAGGUUUUAACCUAGACAGUACUGUGACAACAUCAAAAGCAUAAGUAAUUCCUUUCCUCAUUCUAUUCACAUCCAAAGCUAGCAAUUUCCAUCUGAUAUUAUCACUAAUGACCAGGUAAAUCAAAAUAUAACUAUAAUGUAAGUUUAUAUACUUCUACGUACACUAUAUAGCUUAGAACAAGGCUAAAAGAUCACCAUGACAUAUAUUCCACUUAUAUUAAUAAACCCCCAUUUAUCUGUUUAUUAAUAGUGAAACUUUAGCUUAAAAAUACAUCUAUAAAAUAAAGUGUCACCUCCAUUUUGUGAUGCUGAAGUCUGAACAGUGUUAAGUAGCAAUAAAACUACACUAUGCCAGCACCUGGGCAAAAAUAUCUUUUCACCCAGCAGUUGACAAAGAAACGUGAUAAUGUCACAUCUGAAUUAAAGCAACAAGGAUAUUUAUGUAGAGGUCUAGCACAGAGCAUUCACCACAAAGAACACACCUGACAGAAAUCCAUCUAUUUGUACCACAAUCAUCUCCUUUCUUAAAAUACACAUCGUAAGUGUUCAUUUCAUUAGACUGUUGGAAAGCAAGACUUUUCAGUUCCUUAUAGUGGAUCAGUUUAAUACAUUGCAAUGAUGGAUUGAUAGCAAAUUGCCUUGUUAAACAGCAUGCACUUAUAGAACUGCAGCAGGCGGCCUCGGCUGUGCCUUAAGCGAAUUUCUAAUACUCUUACCAUGUCCCUCAUUGACAUAUGCAAGUAUUUUGUGUCUGAUCUCUUCAUACAUGUUGUGCCUAAUGAAACCAUUAAAUCAAACUGCAAAAGGGCUAUUUAUCAAAAAGUAAACACCUCUGAACAGAGCUCACACUUGGUCUCAUGCAUCUCCAAGGCUAAGGGCAAUUAGGAGUAAUCACUGAUAGAAUCAGUUUUAUAUGGCUUUGAAGCAGCAAUCCUGGAAGCUGUAACAAAGCUUACUACCUAAGAACACAACAGUCCAUGUUUUCAAAGCUCAAAAAUUCUCUGAAUCCAAUUAGGGAUCUCUCAUUAGCAAAGUGUGUGUGCAUGAAUACAGCUGAUUUGCUUGUAGCCAUUUGCCUACAUCAGGUAUGCAGAAAUAUGUGCAAGUAUGCGUGACCUACAAGGCAGAGGAGCCUUUGUAUUAAAUAAGCACAGCUAUGUCUCAGUCUGUGCUGCUGCCCUGUGCAUGAGCUCCAGGCAAUAGGUCACACAAUUUGAGAAUAACCGCUCCCUGGGAGCAGACACACCGGAGAGCAGUUACAUCUCCAUGAGGAUUUUAUCCCAAAGAAAAGAAGGCUCAGGGGUGACCUUAUUGCUCUCUACAACUACCCGAAAGGAGGUUGUAGCCAGGUGGGGUUGGCCUCUACUCCCAGGUAACAAGCAACAGGACAAGAGGGCAUAGGCUCAAACAGUGCCAGGGGAGGGAGAUUCAGGUUGGACAUCAGGAGGAAUUUCUUUACAGAAAGGGCUGUUAAACCUUGGAAUGGGCUGCCCAGGGAGGUGGUGGAGACAACAUUCCUGGAGGUGUUCAAGAAAUGACUGGACACGGCACUUGGUGCCAUGGUCUAUUUGCCAAGGUGGUGUUCGGUCAUAGGCUGGACUCAGUGCUGUCAGAGCUCUCUUCCAACCUAACUGACUCUGUGAUUCUGAGGAUGACCAAAUCCCUUGGCUAUUCAAUAGAUGUGCUUGCCUGGCUGGGGGCAGGUUGAUUACCUGCAUGUAGCACAUGCAGGCCCUGAGCAGCAGCCCCUGUCUUCUAAAAUCCACACCAUGAGGGGUAGCGAAGGACUACAAAUGAAACUGGGGACUGACAAGCAAGUCUCAGGCAAAAGCGUGUGUAUGACCUGACAGGUCUGAAAGUGUAAAAACUAUUCCACAGGGCACAGAAGCGUGGGUCAUCUCCAUUUCCUCCUCAACAAACACACAGUAGGAAAACUCAGAAUUUUCCUUUUUGCUUUUGCAGAGGAAAUAAUUAACUCACAAAUACACUCAGUGCCUUGAAGAAGUCAGUGAACACAAGGAUACCAGUGAUCUAGUUGGUAUAUUUAGAGUUUCCCAAAAGCUUUUGAUAAGGUUUCUCACAGAAUGUCACUCUGCUAUGGGCUACUACGAGAAACAGGAUACCAGAGUAGGGAAAUUGUAUCACUCACCAAAGACUCCAAGAAACUGAGCUAUCGUAGGGUAUAGAACGCCCCCUCACAAAGAAAUAAUGUUCAAAGGAUAGGAAACCAAGUAUACCUUUUAUAUUCUAACAAUACCUCCUCUUGCCAACUUGAUUUUGUUCCAGAGAUGGUGAUAUUUCAGUGCUAAGCAAUACCACUAUCUCUCUUAUGCACAGGGCAUGAAUCUUCACAUCCAAAAAACCCCAGGGAGGUGUUUGAUCAAACAGAGUCACAAAUUUGUUUCCACAAACACACUGGUAACAACCAACCCAUGGCCCCUCUGCAAGCCACAGGGGAGCCUGGGCAGCAGUCAGUUUGUUGCUGAGGGGGGUGAAGACUUGUGAAUAUUUUACUUUCUCUCAGUCACGCAGUCUUCAAGAAAAAAAGCUUAGCAAUGUAAACAUCAACCUUCAAGUUGAUGUUUACCACCUUAAAAAGCAGAUGACAAAGAACAGUCAUUCAUAAAUGGGACUAAAGUUGGCACUGCACAGACUAGGCCCAGGUAACUUCCCAAUGACUCAGCUGCAACAAGGGAUAUUUUUGUGAUGCAUCUAUUCUUACGAAAUGGAACAUGCUUUUACCUACACACCUUGGUUCUGCUGAUGCUUUUGAAGCAAAACCCACACACUUUUCCAGCUACAGAAGGUCAGCACAUUACUGGGGGAGAAAAAGGGAAAAAGAAUGAGAAAUCACAGAAAUACAGAGACUCAAAAAAGAUCUUAUACAAUUAAUUUUUUUUUGCCUUGAGCUAUAAGUAGGCAACAAUUGCCUACUUUCCAGGAUGUUUAAUUUAAUUAACACAGCCUACAAGGAUAUUUAAGCAGUAGUUAAUAGAGGGUAAAUACAAAAUGAGUAAAUAACAGGUGUCCUGUUUAUGUGCAUUUUUCUUUGUAUUGUGAUGAUAAAAUGAUUGUGAUUUGGUCUGUAUCUUGUCUUUACAAUUCAUGCUCCACUGAUGUGUCAGGGUGUUUUAAGCUUCAACUGUCAAUGCUCAUUACUAGUAAGCCCAUCACAGAAUUAGAAACAACUUUGAAAUAAAUCUUCAGGCUGUACCACCCAAACUGACUGCACCCUACUGCUGUUUGGAAAGGCAGCUGUAUUUCCACUUCAGUCUGCACUCCCUUCAUAAGCCCUACCUACUGAUGAUUUUACAAGCCUAAGCCCGAAGAUAAACUGGACCAGAGCAAGAAGAAAGAAUAUUACUUCUUAGCUUUGCUCUCAUCCAACUCCUUUUUCUCCUUGCUAUGUUUUACUGUGUUUUUUCUUCUAGUAUAAUAUAUCCAGCACUUGCUACGAAUUGCGUUAUCUUGAACACAAUCAAAAUUCUUCGUGAAGGCCACAAUGAAAAUUUCCCAAAGGCCUCAAGAGGCCUCUGAUUUGUCAAGACAGAGCAAAAAAUCUUUGACUCUCUUUUCCACUUGGACACAUGGCCUGGGAAUGGCUUCAGCAUGCGCUUCUUCUCAUUGACCGGAUUAUACCGCUUUCUGUCUUACUUUGAGCCCGUGCCCUGUUAUGCAAAUACAAUUUCAAAAGUAAGGCUUCCUCGCCUCAGUAUUCCCACAUGUUGUGUCACAAUAUAGUAAGUGAGGUGAGUGGCAGCUUAUGCUUCAAAAUCCACACAUCUCCUUUUUAAAAUGAACAGCAGGAUCUGACACUUAAAAAAAUCUCACUUUUCUUCUUAAAAUCUAAUUAUAACUGUCAAAUGUAUUAACUAUUGUAUAACAAAUCGACACACAAAAGACAUUAAAUCCAAUUAUACUAUAGCAUUGUAUGGUUUUCGCUGGUACCUCAGCUUGAUUUUUCAACCUGGUAUCAUACUUCUUUUUUUGAGUUUGACCUCUCCACUUUCUAGGUAACAAAGGGUAUAUACAUUCAUGGAGGGAAUAGCAUGACACACAAAUGCUUAAAAGAUUACAUUAUAGAGAAAUGUAGUGUUGUUACUGGAGAACAGCCACUGCUUUAGGGCAUGAAGUUCUGAAAUCUGGGCAAGGCUUACAAAAAUUCUGUUCAAUAUGUGAGGCUGAUAAGAUAAAGGAAGAUAAAGGCCUAGUAUUCUGAAUCAAACAUUCAGUGCUCCCGCAUUUCAUGGUAGUCUGAUGAAAUCAAGUGCUAAAUCCUCUGAAAAAUCAAGCCUUUUUUCGGCUUGUUUGAAAACAGCAUCCCAAGUCUCAAAAUAUUUGCCCACUUUUUUCGUGAAAUGAAGUGAAAUAUUCAUCUGCUUCAUCCAGAGUGUACAGCAGCACAUCCUGGCAGCAACACCCCACAGCUGCUGUUCUCAACGUUCGCUGUAGUUUCGUGGAUGCCCACUGGCCUGAAAGUCACUGCGAAAAUCUCCGGCAUUUUCUAUGUUGAUAUUAAGACUGUCAUUAUGAGUUAACAUAUCAGUGAUGACGUUAUUUACUUCUUUGCCAUGACAAGAAUUCAGUACAGUUCUGCCAAAACUCUUCUAUUCACACAUGCAAUAUGUGAGCAGCAUCAGACAGGCUCUACCCUUAUUUUAACAAAACUACAGACAAGGAGUUAAGCACAAAAGAUCACUUUAUUUUUCAAAUCACACCCCUCUCAUUCUUGAAAAGGUGUAUUUCUAAUUGUCACUAUUUUAAAUAUACUCUAUAUUUUCCUGUGAAGUUAAAUACUUUGAAGAAGAAUCUCCAAAGAAAUAAAUACAAAGCACAACAGUUUCACUUUAUGAUUUGCUUUGAGCAUUGUCUGGUCCUGCAUCCACUCCGUCAAGUUUUGCUGUUCUUUGAAACUCUUGAAAAAGAAAUCCACAGUCAGCAUUCCUUGCUCUCCAGAGCCCUCUGCUUAUCAGCUGUUAAUACAAACUGUUAAUACAAUACCAGAGCAUGCACAAAAUAGCUUACAGCAGUUUAGUAAUUCUAAAACUUCCAUUACAAAUACAUAUGUUGCUACUAAAGAAACAACUGGGAUGCUUCUUUUCUGGAUGCUCAUAGAAAAUUCCAUGUUACAAAAUGCUUGUUUGAUGAUGUCCAUGUCUGCUGGUGAAAAGAAAAUCAGUACUAACUAGGUUUGCCAGCUUGUACAAUGGAUAACUUACAAAACCAGACAAUUCCCAAAGUUAUCAAAUGGAUCAACUGCAGCACAAUCUGCAACCAUCAUUUUACCUGAAACCUAAUUAGCCCAAAGGGUUGGUAAUGCACAUCCACUGCAGUAUAAAACGAUACCAAGGCCAUCAGAACACACCUUGUGGGGUUUAUUCUCAUAUGAUGAGCACUGUCCAGUGCAACAGCACAGCUCCUGCUCACAGCCAGGAAGGGAGGGCUGACGAUGCAGUUUUAUGGUGGUUGUCAUGGCAACGGAGAGGUGAAAGUAGUCCAGUGCAGGCAGCAUCAUGUCCCUUCAAAGAGAAAGUUAAACGCACUUCCCAUACCAGAAGUUGCGCUUCUGAAAAAGCUUUUCUUGAAAGAGGUAUCGGAGAGAGCCUGACUGGAUGUGGCUGUGAACUCAUCCCAGUUACGUCUCACCUGGGACAGUAUUCCUGAAAAUGCAAUCAUGGUCUGGCAGGCUGAUUUCGCUACAUACACAUGCACUUAAAGAACAUUCAAAGACUAUGAUAAAUUCUAAAAAUUACAGCUGCAACUCGUACCUGUUCACAACAAGGUCUGAGGUAGUUUAGAACCACUCUAUGAGAAAGAAGGAAAGGGAUUUAAUGCACAAAUAUUUCAAGAUACAAUUGCUACAAAGAAGGGGAGUGUAACAAAGUGUAAAACAGAUUUAGACUACUGUCUGCCAGGAAAGAGGAGCUAAACACAGAAAUAAGUGAAAAAGUUCACUAAAAGCUGAACUUCUAUUUAGCCUGGCUCUGAUCAUUAACAUUCACUACAAAAAAACAAAAACAAAAAACCACCAACAACAAUGAAAUUGAGCAAAGCAGAAAGGAAAUUUUACAAGAGAUUGGACAAGGUUAAUAGACAUAGGGUCCAAAUUGGGAAGUAGAACUGAACUUCACAAAAUGAAUCCAUGUGCUCAGCGCGACAUUUUGAUAUCUGACAGCCGAAAUACCUUCACACAGGGACACUGAAAAGUUACGAAUUCUUUCGAGAUUCACUUUUGAUGAUGCAGUUUAUUUAGAAAAGAACAUUUAUGUACAAUCAAUGCAUUAAACAAUGCAUAACUAACAAAUUGAGAACAUAUCUGGUGCAUCAGGGUGAGAAAGAAAUACUUACAUUUAUAUUUAAGUGUAAUUUAGAUUAGCCAGCACAAAACCUGACCUACUUCUUAAGUCAACAGUAAACUCCUUACUGAUUUUCCUCUUAAGGGUAACAGACUGUAAAUAGAUUAUGGAAGUACAAGGUCCAAAAAGGUUAGUAUUUUGCAUAUCCAUAGACAGCCAAAUUUAAAUGUUGCUCACUAGCACUUGACAGCCUAGUUGCAGUUGCCUUUAAAGUCUGAUGUGAAUGAAUGGGGAUGAGGAUAUUUUAUUCAGCAUAUGACAAAG